rnacentral:rRNA from 2 species
AGAGUUUGAUCAUGGCUCAGAUUGAACGCUGGCGGCAGGCCUAACACAUGCAAGUCGAGCGGUAGCACAGAGAGCUUGCUCUCGGGUGACGAGCGGCGGACGGGUGAGUAAUGUCUGGGAAACUGCCUGAUGGAGGGGGAUAACUACUGGAAACGGUAGCUAAUACCGCAUAAUGUCGCAAGACCAAAGUGGGGGACCUUCGGGCCUCAUGCCAUCAGAUGUGCCCAGAUGGGAUUAGCUAGUAGGUGGGGUAACGGCUCACCUAGGCGACGAUCCCUAGCUGGUCUGAGAGGAUGACCAGCCACACUGGAACUGAGACACGGUCCAGACUCCUACGGGAGGCAGCAGUGGGGAAUAUUGCACAAUGGGCGCAAGCCUGAUGCAGCCAUGCCGCGUGUGUGAAGAAGGCCUUCGGGUUGUAAAGCACUUUCAGCGGGGAGGAAGGCGAUAAGGUUAAUAACCUUGUCGAUUGACGUUACCCGCAGAAGAAGCACCGGCUAACUCCGUGCCAGCAGCCGCGGUAAUACGGAGGGUGCAAGCGUUAAUCGGAAUUACUGGGCGUAAAGCGCACGCAGGCGGUCUGUCAAGUCGGAUGUGAAAUCCCCGGGCUUAACCUGGGAACUGCAUUCGAAACUGGCAGGCUAGAGUCUUGUAGAGGGGGGUAGAAUUCCAGGUGUAGCGGUGAAAUGCGUAGAGAUCUGGAGGAAUACCGGUGGCGAAGGCGGCCCCCUGGACAAAGACUGACGCUCAGGUGCGAAAGCGUGGGGAGCAAACAGGAUUAGAUACCCUGGUAGUCCACGCCGUAAACGAUGUCGAUUUGGAGGUUGUGCCCUUGAGGCGUGGCUUCCGGAGCUAACGCGUUAAAUCGACCGCCUGGGGAGUACGGCCGCAAGGUUAAAACUCAAAUGAAUUGACGGGGGCCCGCACAAGCGGUGGAGCAUGUGGUUUAAUUCGAUGCAACGCGAAGAACCUUACCUGGUCUUGACAUCCACAGAACUUAGCAGAGAUGCUUUGGUGCCUUCGGGAACUGUGAGACAGGUGCUGCAUGGCUGUCGUCAGCUCGUGUUGUGAAAUGUUGGGUUAAGUCCCGCAACGAGCGCAACCCUUAUCCUUUGUUGCCAGCGGUUAGGCCGGGAACUCAAAGGAGACUGCCAGUGAUAAACUGGAGGAAGGUGGGGAUGACGUCAAGUCAUCAUGGCCCUUACGACCAGGGCUACACACGUGCUACAAUGGCAUAUACAAAGAGAAGCGACCUCGCGAGAGCAAGCGGACCUCAUAAAGUAUGUCGUAGUCCGGAUUGGAGUCUGCAACUCGACUCCAUGAAGUCGGAAUCGCUAGUAAUCGUAGAUCAGAAUGCUACGGUGAAUACGUUCCCGGGCCUUGUACACACCGCCCGUCACACCAUGGGAGUGGGUUGCAAAAGAAGUAGGUAGCUUAACCUUCGGGAGGGCGCUUACCACUUUGUGAUUCAUGACUGGGGUGAAGUCGUAACAAGGUAACCGUAGGGGAACCUGCGGUUGGAUCACCU